rnacentral:rRNA from 1 species
UGAGGAAUAUUGGUCAAUGGGCGGAAGCCUGAACCAGCCAAGUAGCGUGAGGGAUGACUGCCCUAUGGGUUGUAAACCUCUUUUAUAAGGGAAUAAAAUACGGGACGUGUCCUGUUUUGCAUGUACCUUAUGAAUAAGGACCGGCUAAUUCCGUGCCAGCAGCCGCGGUAAUACGGAAGGUCCGGGCGUUAUCCGGAUUUAUUGGGUUUAAAGGGAGCGCAGGCGGUCUUAUAAGCGUGACGUGAAAUGCAGCGGCUCAACCGUAUGAUGUGCGUCGCGAACUGUGAGACUUGAGUACGGGAGAGGAUCGUGGAAUU